CCUACGGGGAGCAGCAGUAGGGAAUAUUGCUCAAUGGGGGAAACCCUGAAGCAGCAACGCCGCGUGGAGGAUGAAGGUUUUCGGAUUGUAAACUCCUUUUGUUAGAGAAGAUAAUGACGGUAUCUAACGAAUAAGCACCGGCUAACUCCGUGCCAGCAGCCGCGGUAAUACGGAGGGUGCAAGCGUUACUCGGAAUCACUGGGCGUAAAGAGCGCGUAGGCGGGAUAGCAAGUCAGAUGUGAAAUCCUAUGGCUUAACCAUAGAACUGCAUUUGAAACUGGUAUUCUAGAGUAUGGGAGAGGUAGGUGGAAUUCUUGGUGUAGGGGUAAAAUGCGUAGAGAUCAAGAGGAAUACUCAUUGCGAAGGCGACCUGCUAGAACAUAACUGACGCUGAUGCGCGAAAGCGUGGGGAGCAAACAGGAUUAGAUACCCGAGUAGUC
rnacentral:rRNA from 1 species